GAUGAACGCUAGCGGCAGGCUUAACACAUGCAAGUCGAGGGGCAGCGUGGAGCAGCAAUGCUCUGACGGCGACCGGCGGAAGGGUGCGUAACACGUGAGCGACUUGCCCGUCACAGGGGGAUAACCGGCGGAAACGGCGACUAAUACCCCAUAUGAUGCGAUGCUGCAUGGCAUUGCAUUGAAAGAUUCAUCGGUGGCGGAUAGGCUCGCGGGACAUUAGCUAGACGGCGGGGCAACGGCCCACCGUGGCGACGAUGUCUAGGGGUUCUGAGAGGAAGGCCCCCCACACUGGGACUGAGACACGGCCCAGACUCCUACGGGAGGCAGCAGUGAGGAAUAUUGGUCAAUGGGCGGAAGCCUGAACCAGCCAUGCCGCGUGAAGGACUAAGGCCCUACGGGUCGUAAACUUCUUUAGACGCAGAGCAAUAAGGUCCACGCGUGGACCGAUGAGAGUAUGCGUAG
rnacentral:rRNA from 1 species